rnacentral:rRNA from 1 species
CCUACGGGUGGCAGCAGUGAGGAAUAUUGGUCAAUGGGCGAGAGCCUGAACCAGCCAAGUCGCGUGAGGGAGUACUGCCCUAUGGGUUGUAAACCUCUUUUGUCGGGGAGCAAAAGCCGGCCGUUUUCCGCUGUUAGAGUUCCCGUAGAAAUAGCACCGGCCAACUCCGCUCCAGCAGCCGCGGUUAUACGGCGGGGGCAAGCGUUUUCCGUAAUUUGUGGGUGUAAAGGGUGAGUAGGCGGCAUGGUAAGCCAGAUGUGAAAGCCUUGGGCUUAACCCGAGGAUUGCAUUUGAAACUGUCAGGCUAGAGUACAGGAGAGGGAAGCGGAAUUCCUAGUGUAGCGGUGAAAUGCUUAGAUAUUAGGAAGAACACCAGUGGCGAAGGCGGCUUUCUGGACUGAAACUGACGCUGAGGCACGAAAGCGUGGGGAGCGAACAGGAUUAGAUACCCUUGUAGUC